rnacentral:rRNA from 1 species
AUUGAACGCUGGCGGCAGGCCUAACACAUGCAAGUCGAACGAGUGGCGGACGGGUGAGUAAUGUCUGGGAAACUGCAUGGUGGAGGGGGAUAAAUACUGGAAACGGUAGCUAAUACCGCAUACCAUCAGAUGUGCCCAGAUGGGAUGAGCUUGUUGGUGGGAUAACGGCUCACCAAGGCGAAGAUCCCUAGCUGGUCUGAGAGGAUUAACGGCCCCACUGGAACUGAGACACUGUCCAGACUCCUACGGGAGGCAGCAGUGGGGAAUAUUGCACAAUGGGCGCAAGCCUGAUGCAGCCAUGCCGCGUGUAUGAAUAAGGCCUUCGGGUUGUAAAGUCCUUUCAGCGGGGAGGCGUUACCCGCAGAAGAAGCACCGGCUAACUCCGUGCCAGCAGCCGCGGUAAUUC